AUUGAACGCUGGCGGCAUGCCUUACACAUGCAAGUCGAACGGCAACACGGGUGCUUGCACCUGGUGGCGAGUGGCGAACGGGUGAGUAAUACAUCGGAACGUACCUUAUCGUGGGGGAUAACGCAGCGAAAGCUGUGCUAAUACCGCAUACGCCCUGAGGGGGAAAGCGGGGGAUCGCAAGACCUCGCGCGAUUAGAGCGGCCGAUGCCUGAUUAGCUUGUUGGUGGGGUAAAAGCCCACCAAGGCGACGAUCAGUAGCUGGUCUGAGAGGACGAUCAGCCACACUGGGACUGAGACACGGCCCAGACUCCUACGGGAGGCAGCAGUGGGGAAUUUUGGACAAUGGGGGCAACCCUGAUCCAGCGACGCCGCGUGAAGGAUGAAGGUCUUCGGAUCGUAAACUUCUUUUGAUGGGGAUGAAUGCCUGCGUGAAUAACGCAGGGUGACAGUACCCGUUGAAUAAGCCACGGCUAACUACGUGCCAGCAGCCGCCGUAA
rnacentral:rRNA from 1 species